rnacentral:rRNA from 2 species
GUCUAUAAUGCAAGUCGAGCGAACUGAUUAGAAGCUUGCUUCUAUGACGUUAGCGGCGGACGGGUGAGUAACACGUGGGCAACCUGCCUGUAAGACUGGGAUAACUUCGGGAAACCGAAGCUAAUACCGGAUAGGAUCUUCUCCUUCAUGGGAGAUGAUUGAAAGAUGGUUUCGGCUAUCACUUACAGAUGGGCCCGCGGUGCAUUAGCUAGUUGGUGAGGUAACGGCUCACCAAGGCAACGAUGCAUAGCCGACCUGAGAGGGUGAUCGGCCACACUGGGACUGAGACACGGCCCAGACUCCUACGGGAGGCAGCAGUAGGGAAUCUUCCGCAAUGGACGAAAGUCUGACGGAGCAACGCCGCGUGAGUGAUGAAGGCUUUCGGGUCGUAAAACUCUGUUGUUAGGGAAGAACAAGUACAAGAGUAACUGCUUGUACCUUGACGGUACCUAACCAGAAAGCCACGGCUAACUACGUGCCAGCAGCCGCGGUAAUACGUAGGUGGCAAGCGUUAUCCGGAAUUAUUGGGCGUAAAGCGCGCGCAGGCGGUUUCUUAAGUCUGAUGUGAAAGCCCACGGCUCAACCGUGGAGGGUCAUUGGAAACUGGGGAACUUGAGUGCAGAAGAGAAAAGC